AUUGAACGCUGGCGGCAGGCCUAACACAUGCAAGUCGAACGAGUGGCGGACGGGUGAGUAAUGUCUGGGAAACUGCCUGAUGGAGGGGGAUAACUACUGGAAACGGUAGCUAAUACCGCAUACCCUCGGAUGUGCCCAGAUGGGAUUAGCGAGUAGGUGGGGUAAAGGCUCACCUAGGAGACGAUCCCUAGCUGGUCUGAGAGGAUGACCAGCCACACUGGAACGGAGACACGGUCCAGACUCCGCCGUGAGGCAGCAGUGGGGAAUCGGGCACAAUGGGCGCGAGCCUGAGGCAGCCAUGCCGCGUGUAUGAAGAAGGCCUUCGGUUUGUAAAGUACUUUCAGCGGGGAGGCGUUACCCGCAGAAGAAGCACCGGCUAACUCCGUGCCAGCAGCCGCGGUAAUUC
rnacentral:rRNA from 1 species